rnacentral:SRP_RNA from 1 species
GCUGGGCAUGGUGGCACGUGCCUGUAAUCCCAGCUACUCGGGAGGCUGACGGAGAAGAAUUGCUUGAACCCAGGAGGUGGAGGUUGUAGUGAGCCGAGAUGGCGCCACUGCACUCCAGCCUGGGUGACAGAGCAAGACUCCGUCUU